UCUCCUAACAAACACAUUCCCCGACCGCUUCUCUUCAAGCAUACGAACUGUCGCAUCUCUCACAACUCUCCCAGACCAUUUGAAGAGCAUCUUGAAUGUCCUUAAUUCCUCUCAACUCUCCGACAGUCGAGAGUUCCCGUGAAAUAGCCUUUCGAUGCUCAUCCAUUCUCAUUUCAAGACCGAAUUCUGGUGAAGAAAUUACCAAAGCCAUCCAGCCGAUUGGUUUCGAAAUUAAAAGUUCACUUCGGUAGGAUCCCUGGUAAGUUUCCGAAAAAAACUGUUCUCUCAUGGUGAAUCUACGUUGGAGCUUUUCUUGCUUAUAUGUUUAAUAUCAUGCUCAGGAGUUCGAUAAAUACUCAUUGCACUCAAGGUGUUUGAUGAAUGCUCCUGUUGCCCUUCCAUUUAUUCCACCCGUCGAUAUUAGUGAGAAAAGUAAAUGGAAUAUACGGUUAAUGUUUGUGAUGCCUAUAGGGAUAGCAGGCUUAUUGUAACAAUUUAUGCCUUGUUUGGAUGGGUUUUCAAAAAAUUCGACGAAAACAUGAAACAAGCCAAAUUCGUGAAUCUUGCCUAUGACAUAUCCAAUGUGCACUAUAAGCCAUCAUCUACAUCGCAUCCAUUGGUGGGCCAUGGUUCCUCAUUGAAUCUUGACCAAAAGUUGUAAAGGAGUGGUCCCGACAAUUCCCUUAAGCUAAUUUUACGGGGUGGAAUUUUACUUGUGAAAAUGUGCAGAGUUGUCUUCAAAAUAUGCAAUCGUAUAUCUGAGAAUCCAAGUCGAGCCUAAAAAAAUUAAGAAAUUGAAGUCUCUCCUUGCUUUAUUCAAGGGGUCGCAGAAGGAUGAGGACCACACAAAGACAAAUGUCUAGAUGAGAUGACGUGAUUAGAUCCGCCACAAGCGAUUCAGAUAGGAUUUGGGAGAUGUCAUGCCAUUGUUUGACAAUUGUUGACAAAAACAAAAAGAAAAUUGGCCCUACUUUUUUGAAGCGUGCGAUUUUGAAUCUAGUUGAGAGUGAGGUUGAUCACCACCAGAGGGAUGGCAGAAAAAGCAAACAGGUGGUUGUUCUGAGAGAGAGAGACGAAAAAGACAACAAAUGUUUGUCAAGUGACGUGUCGAAUCUUUCGAACAAAUGAGUGGGGAUUGGGGAGGCAUCCAACCACUUUGGAGUUGCUAUGAAAUUAUGAAUAGCCUUUGGGUGUGACAAUCUAUACGUGUAUAUAUCUACUCCAAAGUAAUUACUUCUGGAAAUAUUCGAUCAUCUGAUCAGACAAAGCACAUUGAAUUAUUUGUUCUAUUGUGCAUUCUUUCAUUUCGAGUUUUUUAUGCAACCGUUGUUUGAUUGGUUGAAGUUUUGGCUGGUGUUCUAGAAAAGAAGCUUGGCAUUUCUUGGUUGGAUGAUGUGAAGUGUGUUGUAUUGUAUUGAUGACCUUCUUCAAAGAGGCCCAAGUGGACGUGUGCCACUCAGUUGUCCAUGCAGUUUCAAAUACUUUUUUUCCCUUUUUCCAAUAUCAUUAGUGAAUUUUUUUUCUACUUUUAUGUCCUUUUAGAAUUAGUUUUUCUUUUAUUAGGGAGAAGUCUUUGAUGUUGGACAUACGGGGGACUUAGGUAGAAGUUCUAUUAUGUGUAGAAGAUCCUAAACUAUUAUGUGUAGAAGAUCCUUUAAAUAAUUUGGGCAUUUUUUCUGUGCAACUGGUCGGCUGUGGGAAGACACAGUUGUUGGGAAAUGCAUGAGAUAUUUACCUAAACCAGUCUCCCCUAACAUUAUUUUGUGGAUUCCGGCAACAGUUCCUGGGAGCAAUUGUUGUAUUACAAAAGGUGACAAUGAAUAGCACAGAGCUGACAACCUGAACAUGGUGUCAUCGCAGAAUCUUUUGAUGUUGUUGGUUAAUGAUAUAUAUACGUGAUGCAUCUGCAAAUCAUGCCCUAAAAGGAAUCAUUUGUAGUUUUUUAGUUUUCAUUUAUUUCAUUACAUAAUUUUUUCCUGUGCUAUUUCGACUGAUUUGGUUUCUUUAAAUUUCCAUGUCCCUCUCCUAUUGGUAUCUCACAUUUUUUAAUUCUCUUGCUCUGAUUUCUAGAAUCCAACCUGGAGGCUUUCCCCCUUCCUCCUGAACCUGCAGGUUUCAACUAUGACCGGGAUGCCCCAAAUGAUUUUCCACUUGACACAACUACGGUAUGUGCAACUUCCGAAGUUGAUAAAGACAAAAGGAGUAUGCUACGAGUUUGUAUUUCCCCACCUGCAUUCUAUCAAUUUUUCUAAUUUAAUUGCUUUUGAUUCGCCGGAUUUGAAAAAGAGAGAGAGAGAGGGAGCUUCAAGCUAAGGAGGCUGAACUAAACAACAAGGAAUACGUACUCCUGAUGGAAAUCUUGGCUUUAUGAAUACACAAUCACUUAAAGGAAUACAGACCUACAUUGUUCCGUUGCCAAUUUUCCCAUCUUCCACACUUUUACUCCAAAUGGAUUGUUUUUCUCCUUUCACAAAGUUAAGGUGCUGUAUCUAAUAACUACAAUAAAAUAUUAUGGUCUCAUGAGUGUUCGAUUCAGAAGUACAUAUCAAAUCUACAGAAAUGAAGUUUUCUUCAAUCUUGUUUUAAAAGUUAGUUUUGUAUAUUAGUUGUUCUUUUUAAUUUUUCCCACUCUUUCUUUCCACAUUUUGGCAUACUCCAGGUCAACGAGAAAUAGCACUACGAUUUGCUAAUAACUGUUCAGGCAUUCCAGUUGAAUGCAUUUGUUGAUGUGUUGCUCAAGUUUCUGACCAUAUGCAUCUAAAUAUCCUGUUAUUCUGCCGAGAAGUUUGUGUAACAUGGGUUAUUUUCUCUUGCUUUGCAGCUGGUAUUGUUCUUGAGGACAAAAAAUGGCCACCAUUUUUUUCCCAAAUCAUCCAAAAUGAUAUACUAGUUCAUCUACCAAGAUUGGCUUAUGUUGCAUUUUCAACGUUGUUGGGUAUGUCAACUUCCGAUCGUUGUGUGACAGUUUUAUCUUUUUAUAUUAUUUUGUAUCCCUGUGAACCUUUUUCGCUGAUAUAGUUUAGGUUGCAAUAUCUUGUUAUUUGGAUUGACGAUCAUUUGUGAUGUUUCAAUUUUAUGCCCUGUAAUCCCACGAUUGCUAUAGCCAGGGUCAGCCGUGCUAUCUUGAUGCAUGGUUCUCAAAA